rnacentral:rRNA from 1 species
AGUGGCGAACGGGUGAGUAAUGCAUCGGAACGUACCGUGUAGUGGGGGAUAACGUAGCGAAAGUUACGCUAAUACCGCAUACGCCCUGAGGGGGAAAGUGGGGGACCGCAAGGCCUCACGCUAUAUGAGCGGCCGAUGUCGGAUUAGCUAGUUGGUAGGGUAAAGGCCUACCAAGGCGACGAUCCGUAGCGGGUCUGAAAGGAUGAUCCGCCACACUGGGACUGAGACACGGCCCAGACUCCUACGGGAGGCAGCAGUGGGGAAUUUUGGACAAUGGGCGCAAGCCUGAUCCAGCCAUGCCGCGUGAGUGAAGAAGGCCUUCGGGUUGUAAAGCUCUUUCAGACGGAAAGAAAUCUCUCGGGAUAACACCCUGGGAGGAUGACGGUACCGUAAGAAGAAGCACCGGCUAACUACGUGCCAGCAGCCGCGGUAAUACGUAGGGUGCGAGCGUUAAUCGGAAUUACUGGGCGUAAAGCGUGCGCAGGCGGUGAUGUAAGACAGAUGUGAAAUCCCCGGGCUCAACCUGGGAACUGCGUUUGUGACUGCAUCACUCGAGUACGGCAGAGGGGAGGUGGAAUUCCGCGUGUAGCAGUGAAAUGCGUAGAUAUGCGGAGGAACACCGAUGGCGAAGGCAGCCUCCUGGGCCAGUACUGACGCUCAUGCACGAAAAGCGUGGG